GCGGAAGUGGCGAAAUUGGUAUACGCGCUGGAUUUAGGUUCCAGUGCCGCAAGGUGUGAGAGUUCGAGUCUCUCCUUCCGCACCA
rnacentral:tRNA from 2 species